CAGGCCUAACACAUGCAAGUCGAACGGUGGCAGCAAUGCCAUACUGGCGCACGGGUACCUAACAAGUAACUAACCUGCCCAGACCAGACUGGAUAACCCGACGAGAGAGCGGAUUAAUACCGCAUAACAUGAUAGAGCGGCAUCCCCUCGACAUUAAAGAUGGAUCGGGUUGGGAUGGGGUUGCGGGUCAUCAACAAGUUGGUAAGGUAAUGGCUUACCAACGCGACGACGACUAGGGGAGCUGAAACGCUGGUCCCCCACACGGGCACUGAGAUACAGGCCCGACUCCUACCGGAGGCAUCAGGAAGGAAUAUUGGGCAAUGGGCGAGAGCCUGACCCAACCAUGCCGCGUGCAUGAAGAAUGCUUUCUGAAUCGCAAACUGCUGUAGAUAAGGAACAAUAGCCAGGACGUGUACUGGGAUGACAGCACCUACAAAAUAAGCACCGGCUAACUCCGUGCCAGCAGCCGUCGUAU
rnacentral:rRNA from 1 species